rnacentral:tRNA from 1 species
CGGAGCGUGGCGCAGCCUGGUUAGCGCACUUGUCUGGGGGACAAGGGGUCGGCGGUUCAAAUCCGCCCGCUCCGACCA